GCCAGUGUAGUGUAGUGGUUUCAGUGCUGAACUACAGCUCUGGAGACCAGGGUUCAAUUCCCCACUUUGCCA